rnacentral:rRNA from 1 species
UACAGAGACUGCAAGCGUUAUUCGGAUUCACUGGGCGUAAAGGGUGCGCAGGCGGCCAUGUGUGUGAGGCGUGAAAGCCCGGGGCUCAACCCCGGAAUUGCACCUCAAACUACAUGGCUAGAGCGUUGGAGAGGGUAGCGGAAUUCACGGUGUAGCAGUGAAAUGCGUAGAUAUCGUGAGGAACACCAGAGGCGAAGGCGGCUACCUGGACAAUUGCUGACGCUCAGGCACGAAAGCGUGGGGAGCAAACAGG